rnacentral:misc_RNA from 1 species
AUUAAGGUCUUAAGCCACAGAUAAAUAGCUUCACAAGUGAAAGCGACUAUAUGAUUCUUGGGAGAGAUGUUGUAAAUCCGCUUACAUUUCCCGAGCCAUUGAUAGAAGGCCUUAGACAGACGGAGGGAGGGACACUGCACAUUCAACUUGGGCGAUACUUAUCAGAUUGUGAACAAUCGACAGUGAACCUCUAAUGCGGUCGCUGAUAUUGUGUUUCAGACUUCAAAGUGUAUUACAUUUUACCGCCAUAGUCCUUAAAACAAAAAAUCGUCCCAACUGUUUGUGAUUAACUUAAGAGGAUUACAGGAACUCCGAAAAUUUUGCGGGAAAAAAGAAAACAAAAAUAAUAUUUAUAAUAUUCAGCACACGAGAAGAUUUUUGUAAAAAUAAACUCUUCCGAGUUUUGUGGAAGAGUUUUCGAGUAGAUGGACUCUUUAACUGAUCAUAUAAGUCUAGAGGAAUUCGUAGCCAGUGUUUCUACUUCAGAGUCCAGUAAUAUGACAAUGCAUCAUUUGGAUACAAUGGCAAAUAACGGUACCGAAUCUGCAUCGAUAGGAAUGAGUACCCCUCACGGAGGGGCUGCGCUUGGGAGCCUCUCCCCCAGUUCUACAGACACCUCCCUCGAUAAAACAACAGAGGAUCUGACGAAAAACAAAAUGGACGACAGUGCUUCAGACGACGAUAAAAAGAAGAAGAGACAGCGGCGACAGAGAACUCAUUUUACAAGUCAGCAACUUCAAGAACUGGAAGCAACAUUUGCCCGCAACAGAUAUCCCGAUAUGGCGACAAGAGAGGAAAUUGCUGCUUGGACUAACCUCACAGAAGCCCGAGUUCGGGUAUGGUUCAAGAACAGACGGGCCAAGUGGAGGAAAAGAGAGCGCAAUAUAGAUACGUACAAAACAGGCUUUGGGAUCCCAGUUUCACUGGUCUGAUGCAAACCCCCUUCGACGACUCACUGUACAAUGGCUAUACGAACAACUACUGGGCAGCGAAAGUCCCCAGCCCCCUCGGAACGAAAACAUUUCCCUGGGGACUCAAUUCCGUCAACCCACAUCUCUCAUCAGUGGUAUCUACACAGCCAAUGUGUUUCUCAAACCCAGCAAAUAGUAUAAGCAAUUCGAUGGUAGGAAACAUGCCAAGCGUCCCAACCAAUAUGUCCAACACUGGGGCACCUUGCCCCUACGCCCCUCCUGCUCCCACCGUACAUCUACAGCCCCAACCGAGACCAGUGUUCAAGUAGUAUUGCUUCUCUAAGACUGAAAGCUAAGCAACAUUCUACGUCAUUUGGAUACCCCCCAGUCAAUCACCGACAACCCACGCUGUCAGCGUGUCAGUAUGCAACGGUCGGGAAUAGCGGAGGCGUGUGAGAACUUUAGAGAUAUUUUUUUGUAGUGGUAGAAGAACCCCCAAAAUGGCCGAGAGGACUACGUGAUAUUCGCGUAAUCAUUUGAAAACGAGACCGGAAGUGCUGGAUGAAGGAUCUGUUAAAAACAUAAAUUAAGUGUGAGCCGUUAUAUCUAAAGCGGGAGAAUGAACAACUCGAACAUUUUUUUUAAAAAUGAAAUGCCAAAAGCACUCUUGCCAAUACGAUGCGGUGUUCACAUCAUAAUAACACUACUUAAAAUAUCUUCAGGAAUACGUUUGACCAGUAGGACUCGAGGCAUUCCGAACGACAGGGUACAAGAAAUGACAUCCCUUGAAUGUUUGAAACUCUGAUUUUGAAGACUUGUUAAGAUGGUGCUAAAACACAAUUUGGCAUUGAUCCUGGGUAUAUAUUGUGGUAAUUGAAGUGCAUAUACUUGGCUGUAGUAAUAUGUUAAUGUUUUGUAUAUUUUUAUAAAGAUAUGAUGUUGAGAGUAUUAUAAUCAAAAUUAUUCUAUAUAAUUUGAUGAAAAUAAUUCGAUAAGUACUGGUUAUAUAGUCAUAUAGAUAGUGCUAUGUUUGAUGAAUAUUUUGAUUAUUUGAAAAAAAAAAUACUUGUUUCAACCAAGUUGUUUAUGAAUGGAAUAUAGAAAAAAAUCAAACAACUGUUCGAUUUAUAAGUCAAAGUUGCAAAUUAUCAGGAAUUUUAUGAUUAAAAUUUUGGAAAAUAC